rnacentral:rRNA from 1 species
UCCAGUUUGAGCACUGCCUGCCCGUUGAAUUAGUUAACGGACGCGGUAUUCUGGCCGUGCAAGGUAGCAUAAUCAUUUGUUCUCUAAAUAAGGACUUGUAUGAAAGGCCACACGAGGGUUUAACUGUCUCUUACUUCCAAUCAGUGAAAUUGACCUUCCCGUGAAGAGGCGGGAAUAAAGCAAUAAGACGAGAAGACCCUAUGGAGCUUUAAUUAACUAGCUCAAAAGAAUCUAUCUACCAGACCGACAGGAACAACAUACUCCUUCCAUGAGCUAACAAUUUAGGUUGGGGCGACCUCGGAGCACAAAACAACCUCCGAGUGAUAUUAAUCUAGACGUACCAGUCAAAAUGCUCACUUACUUAUUGAUCCAAAAACCUCUUUGAUCAACGGAACAAGUUACCCUAGGGAUAACAGCGCAAUCCUAUUUAAGAGUCCAUAUCGACAAUAGGGUUUACGACCUCGAUGUUGGAUCAGGACAUCCUAAUGGUGCAGCAGCUAUUAAGGGUUCGUUUGUUCAACGAUUAAAGUCCUACGUGAUCUGAGUUCCAAACCGGA